rnacentral:rRNA from 1 species
GACAGAGGGUGCAAACGUUGUUCGGAAUUACUGGGCGUAAAGCGCGUGUAGGCUGCUUCGCAAGUCGGGUGUGAAAGCCCUGGGCUCAACCUAGGAAGUGCACUCGAAACUGCGAAGCUUGAGUCCUGGAGAGGAAGGCGGAAUUCGUCGGUGUAGAGGUGAAAUUCGUAGAUAUCGAGAGGAACACCGGUGGCGAAGGCGGCCUCUGGACAGUGACUGACGCUGAGACGCGAAAGCGUGGGGAGCAAACAGG